rnacentral:rRNA from 1 species
CAGCAGCCGCGGUAAUACGGAGGGUGCAAGCGUUAUCCGGAUUUACUGGGUUUAAAGGGAGCGUAGGCGGGCAGUUAAGUCAGUGGUGAAAUCUCUGGGCUUAACCCGGAAACUGCCAUUGAUACUAUCUGUCUUGAAUAUUCUGGAGGUAAGCGGAAUAUGUCAUGUAGCGGUGAAAUGCUUAGAUAUGACAUAGAACACCCAUUGCGAAGGCAGCUUACUACGGAAUUAUUGACGCUGAGGCUCGAAAGCGUGGGGAUCAAACAGGAUUAGAUACCCUGGUAGUCCACGCCCUAAACGAUGAUUACUCGACAUUAGCGAUAUUACAGUUAGUGUCUAAGCGAAAGCAUUAAGUAAUCCACCUGGGAAGUACGACCGCAAGGUUGAAACUCAAAGGAAUUGACGG